CAGAAAAUAGUUUAUUUAAAAUAUUAGUUUUGGAGACUAAUGAAAGGUCCGCCUUUUUCUGA
rnacentral:tRNA from 1 species